GUGGCUCUAAACACGUAAAGGUAAAUUCUUUUUCCUUUUCACUGUUUGGGAAUUUCAUAGGGGUCCCUGUUUUGUUUAGUGGAUUUCAAGUUUUGUAUUGGAAAGCUAUAAUAACCAUUACCCAGGUCCAGAUUGUAUGUCGUUUUUGCUUGUUAGUUGUCGUUUGCUCUGGUCUUGAGUGGUACAGGAGGGUUUUGCAUAUUGUUUCUGGGUUUUAAUUUUGGCAUGGACUGUGAUCCGGGGAUCGUGUUUUUGAGUCUGAGAGCAGGGAAAGCAAGUGAAAUGGGCAAUGGGGGGCUGGGGGUUGUUCAAAAUGUUAUUUUGGUUGGUGUUGUAUGCGCUCAAAAGGUCCGUCUUGCUCUUUGGGUCCAUUGAAUGAUUCAAAAAUCCUAAUGUUGAUGGAGCAUUUGCACCUGAGGAAGCAAUGGCCAUGAUCUUGCAUCUUCUGAAUGAGAAACCAGGAGUAGUAGUAUGAAUCCAGUCAAUUCUACUAUGCAAGAAUGCCAUAGUGUAGCCAAACGACAGAGAUAGUACUUUUUCACAACAGUGAUAUUGUGGACUCCACUGUGGUCAAGUUUUUGAUAAGAUUGUUUAUAUGACCAGGUGACACCUUAAGAUCAGAAGUGAAUUAUAGCAGUAUUGUUUUUGCAGUCAUCCUCAUAAACAGGGUGUUCACACUGUUAGGGCCUGAGGCUAUUGGCCUCUUACUUGGAAAUGAAACCCCAAAUUCGUAGCCUCAUAACUGCAAUUUGGUAUUAUGCUGUUUCCUGUGAAAGCCUCUAUAUCAAGGAAGCUGGUACUGAAGAAGAUGAUUUAUUUUUAAGGAGGGCCAGACAUGCAUGUGGCUUAUCAAACUGACUGUGCAUUGCUGCUUUGGGAACAGACAGUACCACUGCUAGAAAAUAUACACCUGCUGCUAUUGCACACCACCACAAUGAUUUCCAGAACAAAUGAAGUGGUGGAUUCUUCAAAUGUGGAUGGUUAUUCAAAAACAGCAACUGAAACAGAGCAAAGCAUGCUGGAAUAAAAUAAUGCGGUGACUGCUUCAACUGUGGAUGAUUAUUCAGCAAUAGCAACUGAAACAGGAAGGUGGUUAGAAAGGUCAGAAGGGGCACACAGUGAAUAGAACAGAAGUUUCCUUCGGUUGUUAUAUGGGUAAUGAGAAACUCUCUCCCUCUCCAUUCUCAAGCAUUCAUCGACCUUCAACAUGUAAUCUGGAGAAGAAUACUCUAGAACCCAACUCGACGCUUUAAGAGAAUAGUAAUCGCCAGUGUUUUCCAGCAUAUGAGAUCAAUCACAGCAACUCUGGCAUUAGCAUUCACUUCAUGAUAAACCAAAUCACGGAAGGAGAUAAGGGCAACUUCAUUUAGAGAGGGAAGCGACCUCCUCGUGAUGAAGUAGCGAUCGAGAAAAUGAA